GACGAACGCUGGCGGCGUGCCUAAUACAUGCAAGUCGAACGAGAGCGACCGGUGCUUGCACUGGUCAAUCUAGUGGCGAACGGGUGAGUAACACGUGGGUAACCUGCCCAUCAGAGGGGGAUAACAUCCGGAAACGGAUGCUAAAACCGCAUAGGUCUUCGAGCCGCAUGGCUUGAAGAGGAAAAGAGGCGCAAGCUUCUGCUGAUGGAUGGACCCGCGGUGCAUUAGCUAGUUGGUGAGGUAACGGCUCACCAAGGCCGUGAUGCAUAGCCGACCUGAGAGGGUGAUCGGCCACAUUGGGACUGAGACACGGCCCAAACUCCUACGGGAGGCAGCAGUAGGGAAUCUUCCGCAAUGGACGCAAGUCUGACGGAGCAACGCCGCGUGAGUGAAGAAGGUUUUCGGAUCGUAAAACUCUGUUGUUAGAGAAGAACAAGUGCUAGAGUAACUGUUAGCGCCUUGACGGUAUCUAACCAGAAAGCCACGGCUAACUACGCG
rnacentral:rRNA from 1 species